AAUAAACGCUGGCGGCGUGCCUAACACAUGCAAGUCGAGCGAGAAAGUUCCUUCGGGAACAAGUAAAGCGGCGAACGGGUGAGUAACACGUGAGAAUUUACCCUUUAGUGAAGAAUACCUCUGAGAAAUCGGAGUUAAUGCUGCAUAAUCCCUCAAAAAGGGCAAAGGUGGCCUCUUGCUACCGCUAAAGGAUAAGCUUGCGCACUAUCAGUUUGUUGGUGGGGUAAUGGCCUACCAAGACUAUGACGGUUAACCGGCCUGAGAGGGUGUUCGGUCACAUUGGAACUUAGACACGGUCCAGACUCCUACGGGAGGCUG
rnacentral:rRNA from 1 species